AUUGAACGCUGGCGGCAGGCUUAACACAUGCAAGUCGAGCGAGCGGCGGACGGGUGAGUAAUGUCUGGGAAACCGCCUGAUGGAGGGGGAUAACUACUGGAAACGGUAGCUAAUACCGCAUACCAUCAGAUGCGCCCAGAUGGGAUUAGCUAGUUGGGGGGGUAAUGGCGCACGUAGGCGUCGAUCCCUAGCUGGUCUGAGAGGAUGACCAGCAACACUGGAACUGGGACACGGUCCAGACUCAUACGGGAGGCAGCAGUGGGGAAUAUUGCACAAUGGGCGAAAGCCUGAUGCAGCCAUGCCGCGUGUGUGAAGAAGGCCUUCGGGUUGUAAAGCACUUUCAGCGGGGAGGCGUUACUCGCAGAAGAAGCACCGGCUAACUCCGUGCCAGCAGCCGCGGUAAUUC
rnacentral:rRNA from 1 species